UACGUAGGGUGCAAGCGUUGUCCGGAAUUAUUGGGCGUAAAGAGCUCGUAGGCGGCUUGUCGCGUUCGUUCGUGAAACCUGCAAGCUCAACUGCAGGCUUGCGGUCGAUACGGGCAGGCUAGAGUUCGGUAGGGAGACUGGAAUUCCUGUGUGAGCGGUGGAAUGACGCAGAUAUCAGGAGGAACACCGGUGGCGAAGGCGGGUCUCUGGGCCGAUACUGACGCUGAGGAGCGAAAGCGUGGGGAGCGAACAGG
rnacentral:rRNA from 1 species